GACGAACGCUGGCGGCGUGCCUAAUACAUGCAAGUUGAGCGAUGAGGCGUGGUGCUUGCACCAAUUUGGAUAGCAGCGAACGGGUGAGUACCGCGUGGGGAAUCUGCCUUUGAGCGGGGGACAACUUUUGGAAACGAAUGCUAAUACCGCAUAAUAUCUUUAAACAUAUGUUUCAAGUUUGAAAGAUGCAUUUGCUUCACUUAAAGAUGAUCCCGCGUUGUAUUAGCUUGUUGGUGAGGUAAAGGCCCAACAAAGCGAUGAUACAUGGACGAUCUGGAGUGGUGGUUGGCCACCUUGGGACCGGGACGCGGCCCAAACUCCCUCGGGGGGCAGCAGGAGGGAAACUUCGGCAAUGGACGAAAGUCUGACCGAACCACGCCGCCGGAGUGAAGAAAGUUUUCGGGAUGGAAAACUCUGUUGGUAGAGAAAGACCUUGGUGGGAGUUGAAUGCUCACCUAUUGACGGUAACUACUCAGAAAGCGACGGCUAACUACGUG
rnacentral:rRNA from 1 species